rnacentral:rRNA from 1 species
UACGGGGGGGCAAGCGUUGUUCGGAAUUACUGGGCGUAAAGGGCUCGUAGGCGGCCAACUAAGUCAGACGUGAAAUCCCUCGGCUUAACCGGGGAACUGCGUCUGAUACUGGAUGGCUAGAGGUUGGGAGAGGGAUGCGGAAUUCCAGGUGUAGCGGUGAAAUGCGUAGAUAUCUGGAGGAACACCGGUGGCGAAGGCGGCAUCCUGGACCAAUUCUGACGCUGAGGAGCGAAAGCCAGGGGAGCAAACGGGG